rnacentral:rRNA from 1 species
UACAGAGGUCCCAAGCGUUGUUCGGAUUCAUUGGGCGUAAAGGGUGCGUAGGCGGCGCGGUAAGUCGGGUGUGAAAUCUCGGAGCUUAACUCCGAAACUGCAUUCGAUACUGCCGUGCUUGAGGACUGGAGAGGAGACUGGAAUUUACGGUGUAGCGGUGAAAUGCGUAGAUAUCGGGAGGAACACCAGUGGCGAAGGCGACUACCUGGCCUGUUCUUGACGCUGAGGCGCGAAAGCUAGGGGAGCAAACGGG